rnacentral:lncRNA from 1 species
GGGUGCUAUACCAUUUGGUGCAUACAUGUUGAUUAGUCAUUGUCUAUACUCCCUUUUAUCAGAAUGUACUUACCUUCCCUAUCCCUUUUGAUCUGGUCAAUUUUUGCUUUGGCUUUGUCAGAGAUCAUGCUUGCAACUCCUGCCUUCCUUCUAUCAGUUGAGGCUCAAUACAUCUUACUCCAUCCUUUAAUUCUGACCUUUAUCCUGGAGGGUCACCAGAUGGAACCAAAGACCAUGUUAUUUAAGUCAAUCUGUCAAAAAGUAAAACCUUAAUUUACAAUGAAAAAGUUUUUAAAAAAAAAUAAACAAUCUAAAUGACUACUUUCCUGAGCCUGU